rnacentral:rRNA from 1 species
CUGACGUUAGCGGCGGACGGGUGAGUAACACGUGGGUAACCUACCUAUAAGACUGGGAUAACUCCGGGAAACCGGGGCUAAUACCGGAUAACACAUGAAACCGCAUGGUUUCAUGAUGAAAGACGGUUUUGCUGUCACUUAUAGAUGGACCCGCGGCGUAUUAGCUAGUUGGUAAGGUAACGGCUUACCAAGGCAACGAUACGUAGCCGACCUGAGAGGGUGAUCGGCCACACUGGAACUGAGACACGGUCCAGACUCCUACGGGAGGCAGCAGAC